GGUCUGGUAAUCAACUAUGAGGUAAGAUUGCAAAUCUUGAAGUGAGGCGUGACCUCUUAGACUU
rnacentral:tRNA from 1 species